UACGUAGGUGGCAAGCGUUGUCCGGAUUUACUGGGCGCAAAGAGCGCGCAGGCGGUCGUUCAAGUCGCGUGUGAAAGCCCCCGGCUCAACUGGGGAGGGUCACGCGAUACUGAUCGACUCGAAGGCAGGAGAGGGUAGUGGAAUUCCCGGUGUAGUGGUGAAAUGCGUAGAUAUCGGGAGGAACACCAGUGGCGAAGGCGACUACCUGGCCUGUUAUUGACGCUGAGGCGCGAAAGCUAGGGGAGCAAACGGG
rnacentral:rRNA from 1 species